rnacentral:lncRNA from 1 species
GCUUUUUUUCCUGUCUGUCACUACCACCCAAGCCAGGGAAGUCCCCUGUGCUGACUCGUAAGCUUUUACCAUGAUAGAAAUCUACUCAAAUAAAUUGAUGCAUUGCACACCUGUUGUUGUUUUCCACCAGGUUUUCACCCGGAGCCAGGGGACCCAGGUUCCCUUUUCCAGACUGCUAUCUCGGUGCUGCACAACUCGUACUUGGAUUCUACUUUGCGGGGCGGUUUUCAGUACAGCCGAGCGAUUUCAGUGGAGAACGAAGUUUUCAUCGAUGAGUACAAAACUUUCUCCCAGGAGAAGAAAGCCAGUGGCUAUAGUGAGGAAGAACUGGAGGAAUCCUACGCCUUCCUUCUGUUUGAAAAUGAAGAUGGGGCAACAGAGGUGUGUCGGACAGGACUUCGUACAAACACCAGUUCCAUGACCACACUGGGUGAUCCAGCAAAAGGUAAGGUUUAAAUUCAGGUGAGAAAUGGUCUUCAAGCAGUUCUUUAAAAAAAAUAACCAGAUGAACUUGUAUGACCACAUUUUAUUUAU